UACGUAGGCAGCAAGCGUUGUUCGGAGUUACUGGGAGUAAAGGGUGUGUAGGCGGUUCUUUAAGUUUGGUGGGAAAUCUCCCGGCUCAACCGGGAGGGUGCGCCGAAUACUGAGGGACUAGAGUGUGGGAGAGGAAAGUGGAAUUCCUGGUGUAGCGGUGAAAUGCGUAGAUAUCAGGAGGAACACCGGUGGUGUAGACGGCUUUCUGGACCAUAACUGACGCUGAGACACGAAAGCGUGGGUAGCAAACAGG
rnacentral:rRNA from 1 species